rnacentral:ribozyme from 13 species
AAGAAGAAGAAGAAGAUGAAUGGUGAGUUUGUGUCAAAUCGUGCCAUUUUGCCUCUUCUUUUCCUCCUUUUUCUUUUGUUUUUCUUUUUUUUUGGAUGGCGUUGAGAACUUUGUCGAAUUGGGCGGAGAUGUGAGGGUAACUUUGUGAAACAGAACAUAAUAAAUGCAAAAUACUCCGCCCUUUUCCAUCUUUUCUAAGAAG